AAUGAACGCUGGCGGCAGGCCUAACACAUGCAAGUCGAGCGGAUGAGUGGAGCUUGCUCCAUGAUUCAGCGGCGGACGGGUGAGUAAUGCCUAGGAAUCUGCCUGGUAGUGGGGGACAACGUUUCGAAAGGAACGCUAAUACCGCAUACGUCCUACGGGAGAAAGUGGGGGAUCUUCGGACCUCACGCUAUCAGAUGAGCCUAGGUCGGGUUAGCUAGUUGGUGAGGUAAAGGCUCACCAAGGCGACGAUCCGUAACUGGUCUGAGAGGAUGCUCAGUCACACUGGACAUGAGACAUGCGCCAGACUCCUACGAGAGGCAGCAGUGGGGAAUAUUUGACAAUGGGCAAAAGCUUGGUGCAGCCAUGCCGAGUGUGUGAAGAGGGUCUUCGGAUUUUAAUGCUCUUUAAGUUGGUAGGCAGGGCAGUAAGGUAAUACCUUGCUGUUUUGGCGUUACCAACAGCAUAAGCACCGGCUAACUUCGUGCCACCUGCCGCCGUAAGAC
rnacentral:rRNA from 1 species